rnacentral:rRNA from 1 species
GGCUCAGGAUGAACGCUGGCGGCGUGCCUAAUACAUGCAAGUCGAGCGAACGGACGAGAAGCUUGCUUCUCUGAUGUUAGCGGCGGACGGGUGAGUAACACGUGGAUAACCUACCUAUAAGACUGGGAUAACUUCGGGAAACCGGAGCUAAUACCGGAUAAUAUUUUGAACCGCAUGGUUCAAAAGUGAAAGACGGUCUUGCUGUCACUUAUAGAUGGAUCCGCGCUGCAUUAGCUAGUUGGUAAGGUAACGGCUUACCAAGGCAACGAUGCAUAGCCGACCUGAGAGGGUGAUCGGCCACACUGGAACUGAGACACGGUCCAGACUCCUACGGGAGGCAGCAGUAGGGAAUCUUCCGCAAUGGGCGAAAGCCUGACGGAGCAACGCCGCGUGAGUGAU